AGAAAGCAAAAGAUAGGACCCCAGGCAUAGCAAAUAUGUUGCUGUGACCCUCAUGUGUUCAACCUUUACUGUCUGCCCACCUUCGCUUGCUUGGACAGCUUCGUGGCAAGAGGUUCUCUUCACCACCAGCUAUGAUUCCUUCCACUUUCCCUCCAAUCAACAUCCUCUUCUGAUCUCACAGCUAUUUCUCAGGCCUCUUGAAAUAUUGAAAAUAGCAUGAGAAUGAACUUUAUUUCACCUGCAAGCCCUUAGAUUGCAAGGCUGGGAACAGAUCUGAUCUAAUCUGAUUCAUCGGAUGAGGAACAUGAAACUCAAAGACAAAUGAACCUCCCAAGCUACAAACUCC
rnacentral:lncRNA from 1 species